rnacentral:rRNA from 1 species
UACAGAGGUCCCAAGCGUUACUGAGAAUCACUGGGUUUAAAGGGUGCGUAGGUGGCGCCGUAAGUCAGGUGUGAAAUCUCGGGGCUUAACUCCGAAACUGCAUUUGAUACUGCGGUGCUUGAGGACUGGAGAGGAGACUGGAAUUUACGGUGUAGCGGUGAAAUGCGUAGAUAUCGUAAGGAAGACCAGUGGCGAAGGCGGGUCUCUGGACAGUUCCUGACACUGAGGCACGAAGGCCAGGGGAGCAAACGGG